rnacentral:lncRNA from 1 species
CUGAAUCUUUGCCUGCUUUCAAAUUUAAAUUUUAGUUUAUUUUGCUCUAAAAAUAGAGAGAGAUGAAAAGGUGAAUUUCGUUAUCUUUGUCCCUUCAUUUCGGAAAUGUUGGGUGCUACAAUCUAUCAUUAUUGCCCAUGGUUAAAGUUUCCUAAUGCAAUGUCGGUGAAUUUUUUAAUGUAGAUAUCAGGAAGUUUCUACUAGUGUAUACCGUGCUUUGUUCUUUUAUAUGAUUAUUUUCUCUGCCUAAAUUCCUUCUUAGUAGGCAAAUUACUCAAUGCUUUGGACACUUUCUCAUCCUUUCUUUUUCCUUCCGACUAACUUACGCUGGUCCUGUCUCACCGCUGCAUGCCCUGCACACUUGGAGAAAGAUUCUGUCACUCCUCCCCUCCAUACUGUCUGCUGCGAAAGUGAUGGAUGGAGAAUUAUUUACAUAAUCAGCCAAUGCUGGAAGUGCUAUGACAAGCUUGUAGCUUUAUCGCUUCCAACAUGAAGUUCUAUAUCCUGGAUGCAAGUGCUGUUUUCUACCCUCUUUUUAUGCUGUCCCGGGACAGUGCACGUCCCUGAUUUGUAUGGAGGUCUGGCACGGAUUUUGAAAACGCACCAACAAGAGCGAACCCAGUUGCUGCUAAUUUCUUCACAGCCGCCCUUGCAGCCUCCCAGACCACGGCCGGCGCCCUGGCCAUUGUGAGCGCUUAGGCCGGGACACAACCCAGCAGGCUGUGGAUGGAUCCGCAAAGCAGAGAGCGACUGGCUGCGGAGUGGGGGUGCCUUGGGCGGCUCUGAGGCCGGGACACCGGAGCUGCUCACUGCGCCCGGCGGCUGAAUGCUCCCCCAGCCCCUUUCCCAGACGCCAGCGGCCUCCCUGCCAGGGCUCUUCUGUCAGAUGUCCAAGCCCCGAGGUGCCACAGCGCCUCCAGUUCUGCAUUUCCCAGGCCACACAGCCUGGGAAGAGAACAAGGCACAAUGACAACCACAGAGCAGAGUUCUGCGGCCUCACCCCCUGCUGUGUGACAACACCCCUGUGCUCUCUGCCGCGGCCCCCCUUCCCCCCAGCUGCUAGGGAGGACAGCCCCACGCGCCCGGGCAGACACCUCUGCCACCACGGUGCCCACGCUCCAGGACUGGUCCCACCCCCUCCAAAGCGGCAAAGCUCGGGCUGGCCUGAUUCUGCUGCCUGCUGUGUUGUGGAAGUUGUCAGGAUCAAAACGGAGUUGCUGAAGUCAAAUCCUAAUGAGGUGGAGUUCGGAGGCCUUGAAGGCAGGGCGCUACGACAGGACUCACUGAGAACCACGCCUUCGCAAAGGCCCCACAGCCUAGGGCAGAAAACACGUCUCCGGGAGCCUGUGCCCGACAGCUGUGUGUCCAAGCUCAGGCUGUUGCCUGCCCUGCUGCCUGCCGAUCCUGGUAGCCAGGAAUACACGUUUCAAAACAAUUUACAGGGGCCAAGGCUGUGGCAUAGCAGGAAAAGCUGACACCUGCUGUGCCGGCAUCCCAUAUGGUCACCAGUUUGAGUCACGGCUGCUCCCUGAUCCAGCUCUCUGCUAUGGCUUGGGAAAGCAGUGGUAGAUGGCCCAAGUCAUUGGGCUCCUGCACCCACGUGGGAGACCCAGAAGAAGCUCCUGGCUCCUGGCUUCAGAUCAGCACAGCUCCAGCCAUUGCGGCCAUCUGGAGAGUGAAUCAGCGGAUGGAAGACCUCUCUCUCCCUCUCUCUAUCUUUUUGCCUCUGCCUUUCUGUAACUCUGCCUUUCAAAUAAAUAAAUAAAUCUUUAAAAAAAAAAAAAGUAA